rnacentral:rRNA from 1 species
AACGUAGGUGGCAAGCGUUAUCCGGAAUUACUGGGCGUAAAGCGUGCGCAGGCGGUUUUGUAAGUCUGUCGUGAAAUCCCCGGGCUCAACCUGGGAAUUGCGAUGGAGACUGCAAGGCUAGAAUCUGGCAGAGGGGGGUAGAAUUCCACGUGUAGCAGUGAAAUGCGUAGAGAUGUGGAGGAACACCGAUGGCGAAGGCAGCCCCCUGGGUCAAGAUUGACGCUCAUGCACGAAAGCGUGGGGAGCAAACAGG